UACGUAGGGUGCGAGCGUUAAUCGGAAUUACUGGGCGUAAAGCGUGCGCAGGCGGUUAGCCGUGUCCGAUGUGAAAGCCCCGGGCUCAACCUGGGAAUGGCAUUGGAAACUGGCUGGCUGGAGUGUGGCAGAGGGGGGGUGGAAUUCCACGGUGUAGCAGUGAAAUGCGUAGAGAUCGGGAGGAACAUCAGUUGCGAAGGC
rnacentral:rRNA from 1 species